AGAGUUUGAUCCUGGCUCAGAACGAACGCUGGCGGCGUGCCUAACACAUGCAAGUCGAGCGCGAAGGCCCCUUCGGGGGUUAGUAGAGCGGCGCACGGGUGAGUAACACGUGGCUAACCUGCCCUUCAGUCUGGGAUAACUCGGGGAAACUCGGGCUAAUACCGGAUACGUCCCACGGGAGAAAGCGGGGGCCCUCUUCGGAGGCCUCGCACUGAAGGAUGGGGCCGCGGUCCAUCAGGUAGUUGGUGGGGUAAUGGCCUACCAAGCCUAAGACGGAUAGCUGGUCUGAGAGGAUGAUCAGCCACACUGGAACUGAGACACGGUCCAGACUCCUACGGGAGGCAGCAGUGGGGAAUCUUGCGCAAUGGGGGAAACCCUGACGCAGCAACGCCGUGUGUGCGAUGAAGGCCCUCGGGUCGUAAAGCACUGUUCACGGGAAAGAUGGGUGCGCACAUUAAUAGUGUGCGUGCUUGACGGUACCCGUAGAGGAAGCACCGGCUAACUCUGUGCCAGCAGCCGCGGUAAUACAGAGGGUGCAAGCGUUGUUCGGAAUUAUUGGGCGUAAAGCGCGCGUAGGCGACCCAUCAAGUCGGAUGUGAAAGCCCGGGGCUCAACCCCGGAAGUGCAUCCGAAACUGGUUGGCUUGAAUCCUGGA
rnacentral:rRNA from 1 species